GCCAUCGAGUAUUUGCAGUUAUUGUACUUUACGCUGUUUUCAUUGUUUAGAAAAAGAGCAGCAAGAAGCCAUCGAGCACAUCGAUGAGGUACAGAAUGAAAUCGACAGACUGAACGAGCAGGCGAGUGAGGAAAUCCUCAAAGUCGAACAGAAAUACAACAAACUCCGCCAGCCGUUCUUCCAGAAGAGGUUCAGAACUCAUAG